UCGAGGGGUAACAGGAAAAAGCUUGCUUUUUUGCCGACAACCGGCGCACGGGUGCGUAACGCGUAUAGAACCUACCUUUUACUGAGGGAUAGCCUUUAGAAAUGAAGAUUAAUACCUCAUGGCAUCAUUUAGUGGCAUCACUAUAUGAUUAAAGAUUUAUUGGUAAAAGAUGGCUAUGCGUCCUAUUAGUUAGAUGGUGAGGUAACGGCUCACCAUGGCAUCGAUAGGUAGGGGUCCUGAGAGGGAGAUCCCCCACACUGGUACUGAGACACGGACCAGACUCCUACGGGAGGCAGCAGUGAGGAAUAUUGGACAAUGGGCGCAAGCCUGAUCCAGCCAUGCCGCGUGCAGGAAGACUGCCCUAUGGGUUGUAAACUGCUUUUAUACGGGAAGAAACACCCCUACGUGUAGGGGCUUGACGGUACCGUAAGAAUAAGCACCGGCUAACUCCGUGCCAGCAGCCGCGGUAAUACGGAGGGUGCAAGCGUUAUCCGGAAUCAUUGGGUUUAAAGGGUCCGCAGGCGGUCAAUUUAAGUCAGAGGUGAAAUCCCACAGCUUUAACUGUGGAACUGCC
rnacentral:rRNA from 1 species